GAGAUUCAGCCCUUUGUCGCUA
rnacentral:siRNA from 1 species